CAGAGAAUAGUCGCCCGCCUCCCCUCUUUGUCAUCCCUCUCUCGGCGGGGGGGAAUUAGCGGCUUGAUCUUCUUCCUCGCCCGCAGCAGCGUUAAUGUGACACACGGCCGUGCUCACGCUGCUCUUCGGCCACUAGCGAGAGGGAUGCUACUGAGGCUACUUGAGCUUCUUCUGCUUCUGCUGGGUCAGCUUUCAGUUUUCAAAAGGAUUUUUUACCUGAAGAGUGAGGAUCAUGCUGAAAGAUACAACCAUCCCAGUGAGAGCAGACAUGGCGUGGCCGGCAGACCGACAGCGAGGCAGGGCAAGCCGGGGCCGACUCUAUGAUGGCGGCGAGGAGGUGGGGCGCGCCGGGAUCGACGCCGUAACAAGUAUCAGUGUGUAAAAGGGAGGCAGCCGAGAAGGACGGGGCAGCAGAGGGAGUUGGAGAGCCAGCAGCACAUGCAGCAUGCAAGAGACAGAGAGCAAGAGGCAGAAGAAGACGCGGCCGACUGAAAAGCGUACCAAAGAGCGAGCAAGAAGAGG